AUCUGGGCUACAUAAUUUCUCUAAAUCUGAGAGUUGUGAAUUUCAUAGCUUUUUGGGUUGUAGGAUAUUUGUAUCUAUACAUAAAGAAGCACCUUGGAGAAUUGACUCAGACUGAACAUGAUUUGCCUACUUUUCAUAGACAAUGUCCCCACACCCUGAAGAUCAUUUUAUCAAGUAUCUUGGUACACCUGCAUUCCGACUAUGACCCAUCUCAUGAUCUGGGGUAGAAUUUUCACUUGUAAUGCUCAGAAAGUUCUGGGUUUUUGGAGCAUUUCAAGUCCCAAAGUUCUAGACAAGAGUGGGUAAAUUCUGCCAUCAUAAUGUGGUUUCUGGGAUGCUUCUUGAGCACACACCCUUUUGAACUGCUCCAGCUGCUCCGUGAGCUCCUCCACUGCCUGUGUAUGCUUCUGCCUCAUCUCCUGGACCUGGGCCUCAUGGGACCGUGUCUCCUCAUCCAGGGCCUUCUUCAGCACCGUCACUUCCUGUUCCCUCUUGGCUCUAGGGAAAAAGAACACAGUGGAUGACGCUCAGGCCAGAGACAGGGGUUUGCCUGUGACAGUACUGUGCAAGAGGACAAGAAGUCUCCUGGUACCUAGAGCCGAAGUCCUCCUUUGCUGUGUGAGCCAUAGUGACUUGCCUAACCUCCCUGACCCCACAGUGUUAUAUCAGCUGUGAAACGGGGAGCAUGUUACCUGCUCCCAGAAUCUCUCAAGGAUGGCAAACGGGCAUAGAAAAUACAAGUUGCUCCCCACCACCCCACCAACACCAGCAGGCUCACCGUUGCCGGAACUCUUGGAAGACAAUCCUGUUGGGGAAGCCCUGACGGCAGAUGCGGAUGCCUUCCAACACGCCAUUGCACCGCAGCUGCUCCAGCACCAGAAAUGCAUCCAACUUGCCAGACUGCGGAAGUAGAAGAGGCCAGUGACCACUGGAGCAGCAAGCCCCAGACCUCAGGGCCAGAAAACAUCCUUGGCAGUCUGUGGGGUCUUCACAGGGUUUAACUGAGGUGUAAUGUCCACUGUUGCCAUCUCUGGGUUUCUAUACUUUCUUUGGUACUAUUUGUCCCAUAAUCCUCAUUGUGCUUAGUGGUGCUAGCACCCCUGGCUAGAAACUAGGAAUGUUUUCCCCUCACUGUCCUCCCCCUCACUUCCUGGACAUCACUGCCUCAUAGCUCUUACCUCCCAAGUCUCUCACAGUAGGUUUCUUAAAAAAAAAAAAAAAAAAAAGCAGAUGUGGUGUGCAUGUGUAUGCAUUAAUGUUCUUGCAUGUCUAUGAGAGCACACAUAUGUGAAUGUGUAUACACAUUUUUGAUGUGUGUGUGUAUGUGUGUUAUGUGUGUGGUGUGUGUAUGUGAUGUGUGACGUGUGUGAAUGUGUGUGUGAUAUGUGAGAUGUGUGUCUGUGCCUGUGUAUGUGUGUGAAGUGUGUGUGUUCAUGUGUAUGUGUGUACAUUUGGAGGUCUGAAGUUAGUGUCAGAAAUCAUUCUCAAUCACUCUUACAUCAUAUUCACUGACUCAUUCAUCCACUGAAACUCAAAGUUCAGUCUCUUAGCUGAACUGUUCAGGGGAGUCUCUGUCUCUCUUCUGAGAUUAAAGCUACAAGCAGGCCACCAUAUCCACUAGUAUUUAUGUGGGUUUCUGGGGUUCCAAGUCCUACUUGUGUGGAAAGCUCUUUAAAUGGUGGAGCCAUCUCCCCUAACCUACUUUUUUUUUCUUUUUUUUCUGGAGCUGAGGAUCGAGCCCAGGGCACUUGCUAGGCAAGCGCUCUACCACUGAGCUAAAUCCCCAACCCCCCCAACCUACUUUUUUGUGCCAUUGUUUCUUCUACUCAGACAACUGCAGCAUCUUCCCACUUGAUCAUCUCUCCUCAGUCCUGCCUGCCCCUUCUAGCUCCUCAUUUGGUCUAAAACAUAAUUUUGAUCAUGACCUACUGCUUAAACUCCUUCAGUGGCUUCCUACAGAUAGGAUGUCAUCACAAAACCAGUCCAUAAACCAGUCCAAUCCCAUCCCUAGCUCAUGCCACCACGUAGCAAUAUGAAACAAGGGGGCUAGAUAAUGGCUGACUCAAUAAAGCACCUGCCUUGUAAGCAUGAGACCCAUGUGAAAGGCUGAGCAUAAUGCCAUGUGCCUGUAAUCCUAGAAUUGUAAGAAGGGAGGCAGAGACAGGAGGAUUUCAAAAAGCUCAUAGACCAGCUAAACUGUCCUAUGUGGUGAAGCUUCAGGCCAGUGAGAAAGCUGUCCCACGUAGAAGUGGAAGGUGCCUAAGGACUCACAUCAGAGCUUGUUUUCUGACCUCUAUAGUACACUGUGUAUGUGCACCCUAUACCCAUAGGCAUGAACACACCCAUGCACACAAAACAAAAACAAUAUAAAAUGACCUAGCUACA